ACUUAGGGCCAGUUUUUUGAUCCGUAGUAAAAAAUGGUUUUACCAUUUGUUACAUUAACUAUAGUUAAAUGAAUAACCAUUGGUAAAAUCGUAAAUGCGUUUUUCAAUCCCUUUUUUAACUAUAGUUAAACUUAACAAUUUGUCAAUUUGUUGCCAGUGCAAUGAGCAAUGACAUCCCAAAAAAUGUGGUUCUUUUUUGUGGGGAACAUUUAUUUUGUAUGACAACACUAGACAUAUUGAGUGAAUGAAAUCCAUUUUAGCCAUCUUCAUUCGUUAUUUGCGCUUUGAAGAGUUUGAAGUGUCAAAUUAAUCUAAAUAACACGAUAUAAAUAAAGUUGUUUUUCUGUGUUUUAAUACAGUUUACACCUUUUACGAUACUUAAAUAUAUAAAUAACGAUGUCCGCAAACAGCCAACAGUCAAACAAGGACCAUACUGCUAACUUCGCCAAAAAAGAAACUGCCAAACUGGUGAUGCUUCUCAAGGAUUACACAGUCGUAACCUGCAAACAACUGAUCACUGCAGCAAUCUACAAAAAGAUGCAGCUUGGAAUUCUCUGUGACGUUUUCAACUCAGAUGGGUCUAGACACCGAAGUGUUAAAUUUAAUAUACAUUUAAUGAAGGUGUAGCCACAUUUUUAUAUUUAUUCUUGUAUAGCUGUGUCCUACAACAAAAGGAAAAAAUCUUUUAACCCUUUGGAAACAAGGAAGCGGAUUAUGAUCCACACGGAUAAAACAAAUUGAGUUUUUGAAACAAAGACAAAUAAGAGAGGAUGAUUUGUUCAAUUAUGCUAAGGAAGAGCAUCAAAAACAUUUGCUGCACCAAUGAGAGGCCCAUCAAAAAUCCAUACUGCAUAAAGAGGAGGUGCACCAAAAAGUGAUGCAGCAGAUGAAAGAAAGGCACAAUAAAUAUAUGUAGCAGCAAAAAGAGUUGCAUCAAAUUGAGGUGAAAUGCAAGAAAAACAAUUAGAAAAUAUUUAAUUGCUACUUUAGGGUUUCAUGUAAAUUUUGUAAUGUUUUUUUAAUAAAAAUGGUUUGUAUUUAAGUUAUAAUUAAACAGUUUAUUAAUCAAGUCAAAUGUUUUAUUUAUAAAUUCUUGUAAUAAAGUAGGUAGACGCUAACUCACAAAUGUAAUAAAAGCUCUAAAGAAUAUCAUAGGUCCCUAACUAAUGUGUAGCUGUAGUUUUUAGUAUAAGUACAUACAAGUAUGAUAAUUAAGUAUAAGCAGUACAAUAUUAAGUAUAAUAAUUAUAAGUUAAUAUUAUUAGUAAUAAAUAAAUAAUAUGAACUCUAA